AGGACGAACGCUGGCGGCGUGCUUAACACAUGCAAGUGGAGCGACGAACCGGGGCUUGCCCCGGGGCAGAGCCGCGAACGGGUGAGUAACACGUGGGUUACCUACCCCAAUGACCGGGACAACCCGAGGAAACUCGAGCUAAUACCGGAUGUGGUCUUCGGACGAAAGGAAGCUUCGGCCUCCGCAUUGGGAUGGGCCCGCGGCGCAUUAGCUAGUUGGUGAGGUAACGGCUCACCAAGGCGACGAUCGGUAGCUGGUCUGAGAGGAUGACCAGCCUCACUGGGACUGAGACACGGCCCAGACUCCUACGGGAGGCAGCAGUGGGGAAUAUUGGACAAUGGGCGCAAGCCUGAUCCAGCCAUGCCGCGUGGAUGAUGAAGGCCUUAGGGUUGUAAAGUCCUUUUAACGGGGAAGAUAAUGACGGUACCGUAGAAUAAGCCCGGCUAACUUCGUGCCAGCAGCCGC
rnacentral:rRNA from 1 species